rnacentral:tRNA from 1 species
GCAGGGUUAGCAAAGCGGUUAUGCGUUCGCCUGCAGAGCGAAUUAGGGGGGUUCAACUCCCUCACCCUGCU